UGGGGAAUUUUGCGCAAUGGGCGAAAGCCUGACGCAGCAACGCCGCGUGUGUGAUGAAGGUCUUCGGAUUGUAAAGCACUUUCGACCGGGACGAAAACCCUCUGGCUAACAUCCAGGGGCUUGACGGUACCGGGAGAAGAAGCACCGGCUAACUCUGUGCCAGCAGCCGCGGUAAUACAGAGGGUGCAAGCGUUGUUCGGAAUUAUUGGGCGUAAAGCGCGUGUAGGCGGCUUUGCAAGUCGGGUGUGAAAGCCCUCAGCUCAACUGAGGAAGUGCGCCCGAAACUGCAGAGCUUGAGUACCGGAGAGGGUGGCGGAAUUCCCCAAGUAGAGGUGAAAUUCGUAGAUAUGGGGAGGAACACCGGUGGCGAAGGCGGCCACCUGGACGGUCACUGACGCUGAGACGUGAAAGCGUGGGGAGCAAACAGG
rnacentral:rRNA from 1 species